GGGAACUACAAUAUCGGAUCUUUCUUGAAUGAACUCAUCAGUGGAGUAUCUCAAAAUGACUGCUGAUUACAACGGCUACUGGAAAAUGAUCACCAACGAGAACUUUGAAGAGUACCUUAAAGCUCUGGAUGUAAAUGUAGCUAUUAGAAAGAUUGCCACCCUGCUGAAGCCUGAUAAAGACAUCACUCAGGAUGGAGAUCACUUCAUCAUAAAGACUCUCAGCACUUUCAGGAACUACAACAUGGACUUUGUGGUGGGUCAGGAGUUUGAGGAGGACCUCAGUGGAGUGGAUGACAGGAAAUGUAUGACCACCAUCACCUGGGAUGGAGGUAAACUGGUAUGUGUGCAGAAAGGCGAGAUCGAGGGGAGGGGCUGGACCCACUGGAUUGAGGGAGAUGAACUUCACUUGAGAGAAGAGCAGCGCCACCACAGGAGGGAUAAAGACCAUCUCUUUUCAACAGGUCAGGUCUGCCCCAAAAACUCACCCAAUUGUCUAUAAAACCUAUGUUAUUCUGCGGGCACCACUUAGACAUCCAGCCACUGAGUGACGACAGUCUGCUAUGAAUCUCAUCACCCCGGAGCUGAGAGCCGCUGGGAUUGUGAGUAAACAGGUCUUCAAAAAGUCUUAAACCCCUACUGACUGAACACCUGCAAGAGAUCCAGGAAAAUCCAACACUUAAAGUAUAUAAACUCACGCCACAUCUUCCUACAUCUAUCCGUCUGUGUUCUGCUAUUGUGAAAACCAGACAAACACCAUCUGUGAUAGCCUGUCACAAUCUAUAAAUGCUUGUUUGUUCUGAUCCUCACAGAGGAACAUCUCAAGCGACUUUCCUUCGUAGGUGCAGUGUUUGUCAUUUAGAUGUUAUUUAUAUUAGUGGUAGAGAACACCGGGAUAAGCUGCUCAAACAACAGGUGCAUCAGGAUAUUGUCAUGGACGCAAUAAGAAGAUUCCUCAGAUUGGGAGCUACUGUGUACAUAAAAGUAAUUAGACUCCAGAGAGGAUGUGUGGAAGGAAAAAUGAUGUGACGAGUCUGAGUGCCGCCCAGCUGCUGUCGCUCUGAUUGAAGAGCCUGUCAGUCUCUUGGGUUCUGAGCAUGGCAGGGUUUUGCUUUCCUUCCCAUCAUGCCUCUGUGACUGUGCACACAAAAGAAUACAUAAAUCAGUGAAAUAAAGAGAAAUGCAUUGCGUUCUGCUGUUCAUAUGCAUCUAAAUGUGGUUGUUUGAACUUUCUAUCAACACGCUAGUUAGUCACACUUUAUAUUAGGUGUACUUAACUGCUAUGUACUUACAUCAAAAAAUAUGUACUUGUACUUAUGUACUUAUUGUGUUCAUAUUGUUUUGCAAAACACUUUUGCUGCUAUUGAGGUGGGAUAUGGGUAAGGUUAGGGACAGGUUUGGUGUUAUGGGUAAGUUUAAGGGUGGAUUAAGGUGUAAGGGAUGGGUCAACAGUGUAAUUAUAAAUGUAAUUACACAAAUAAAUUACAGAUGCAAUUACAUAUAGGUAUUUUUAAAAAUAUAAGUACAAUGUAAAAACAUGUAUGUACACAAUACAUUGUACCAAAUGAUUAAUUUACAUUUAAGUACAUAUUAGUUAAGGCCACCUAAUAUAAAGUGGGACCUGCUAGUUUAAUAAAGGCAUACCAGCAGGAAUGUAAAUUAAAUAUUGCUGCCGUUUUUUUGUAUAUACUUUGGAAAAUCCAGGUUGGCAUGUUCACUUUUCAUUAUUGCUGAGAUACGCUUCAGCGUUUCUGAAGUAUUACAUGAAUGUUAAGAAGUGAACUAAGCAGCACCCAUACAUCCACUUAACAAGAGAAUUAAAGGCACAUAAUUGGCAGUAUGUUGAUAACUAUAGAGCACUGUCUAGUAAAAUCGGUGCAACCGUUCAUUUUCCAUAUUUGGCCCAGAGUCUAUCAACGGCUUCCUGCCAGGUGUUCCUUUCAGUGAAAAAUUUCCUACCCCACACUGGCAGCCCACUCAACGUCCACUUCCUUUUUUCCACGCUAAUGGCUCCAAAUAUAUUUUUGGAUCUUCAUUUACUCAGAGGAAUAGUUCAGCCAAAAAUUAAAAUUUGUUGAAACUUUACUCACCCUCAGGCCGUCCAAGAUGUUGAUUACAUCACUUGCUCACUAGUGGAUCCUCUGCAAUGAAUGGGUGCCGUCAGAAUGAGAGGCCAAACAAGUAAUCCACAUGGCUCAAUUAACAUCAAUUAACACUGACAUUAACAUUAACGUGCAUCAAUUAGCAUUGUGUGAAGCUGCGUGAUUUUAAGAAACAAAUUAUUUAUUAAGAUUUUUUUUAAUUCAAAACACCGUUUACUGCAAAGAUACUAAAACAUGUCCUCUAUCCAUAAUAUUGCUUUCUCCAUAGAGAAAGUGGUCUUGUCUGAGAAAUAUAUACAGAGCAAGCACUGUUUACAAGCCAAAACAUGUCUAAACAAAUAUGUUGGUGGAUUUUGAUGUGACAACUGAAGUUUGUCAUUUGGAUUCCUUAUGAUGAUUUUAUCAGUUGUUUGGACUCUCAUUCUGACGGCACCCAUCCACUGCAAAGGAUCCAUUAGUAAGCAAGCAUUGUAAUGCUAAAUUUAUCUGAAUCUGUUCUAAUGAACAAACAAGCUCAUCUACAACUUGGAUGGCCUGAGAGUGAGUAAAAUGUAAGCAAAUUUAAAUUUUUUGGGUGAACAAUUCUUUUAAAAUUAUAGCCUUUUUGUACUCAUGCAGCUCAAAGGUGGCCAUGAUCUUCUGGACUAAAAUACACAAAUAUUUCAUAGGGCAUUUUAAAAUAGCCUUAAAGGACAUUACUUAAACAAUAAUGCCUAUAGAAGUUUAUAUUGUAUUAAUAACCUGCUCUAUGCACACCUUGAACUUUUAAACCGGCAACAGACUGUGCAAGUAAAAUUAUACAUUUUAUAUUGUUUCGUAUUUAUCAACACAUCUGAAUAAAAUGACUUAUGCUUACCCAUAAUCCCUUGUACCUACAGAGGAAAUUAACCGUUAUAGGUCAUCUUCAUGGGAGGGAGAUGGAGUUUUUCUUUUAACAAGGACACUACUAAACCUGAUGAACUUAUCAUUACUAAUUGGAUUUUGUACUUGUAAUGUGGAGCUUUAUGCAGACUUUUCCUGCACUGAAUCUCCCCAAAUGUUCACUGGUGUCAAAGAAACCUCACACUGUAACUCUAAAUGCCAGCUGAUUACAACAACUAUUGGAAAAUGAUCUCAAUUUGGAACUCUAAUGAGUACCUGAAAGCUCUUGGUGAGUCAAUUACCAGUUCAAAAAGCGGAGAAUCUUCUGUAGGCUUAAUUAACAUUAUCAUCACACUGCACUAUAAAACCUUUGGAACGUAAUUACAUUACUGAGUAGGGCUGCAUAAUACAGAGUAAGAGAUUUAUCAUUCUUAUAAUUGAAUUUCACUUAUUUG